rnacentral:rRNA from 1 species
AAUGAACGCUGGCGGCAUGCCUAACACAUGCAAGUCGAACGAGACCUUCGGGUCUAGUGGCGCACGGGUGCGUAACGCGUGGGAACCUGCCCUUAGGUUCGGAAUAACUCCCCGAAAGGGGUGCUAAUACCGGAUAAUGUCUUCGGACCAAAGAUUUAUCGCCUUUGGAUGGGCCCGCGUUGGAUUAGCUAGUUGGUAGGGUAAAAGCCUACCAAGGCGACGAUCCAUAGCUGGUCUGAGAGGAUGAUCAGCCACACUGGGACUGAGGCACGGCCCAGACUCCUACGGGAGGCAGCAGUGGGGAAUAUUGGACAAUGGGCGAAAGCCUGAUCCAGCAAUGCCGCGUGAGUGAUGAAGGCCUUAGGGUUGUAAAGCUCUUUUACCCGGGAUGAUAAUGACAGUACCGGGAGAAUAAGCUCCGGCUAACUCCGUG